GUGAAGUGUGAAGAUUUUCUGUUUCCUUCUCAUAUCAGAAGGAAUCCUUUGCAGUGCUCUCGAUAGAAAUUCAUUCCCACAUGAAUUCCAAUUUGGUUUCAGUACAUCUACAUUUCAGGUGGAAGGAGUAGCUCUUGAAGAUGGGAGGGGUGUAAGCAUCUGGGAUACUUUCUGCUCUCUUCCUGGGAAGAUAUUGGGUGGAGGAAAUAGAGAUGUAACAACUGAUAUAUCAUUGAUACAAGGUAUUUGCACUUUAUUUGAAUUUGAGGGGACAUGAAUUUCCUAUUUGGGGCCCACUGUGAUGUCUAUGUGGCAUCCACUCCAUUAAUGAUCACAAGAAUUGCAGUGUGGUAUUGAAUUUGUUGAGUUGCUAGAGGAUGACCCAAAUUCAAAGGCUAAAGUCUUAAUAUAUACAGAUGUAUUCGAGCAAACCCCUCAUGAACAUGCCCGGUCCAAGAAUCAAGUUCCACUCAUCAGGUGGGACGUGGCUGUAUGAGAAAAGUGAAUCAAGUGCCACCUGAAGAGUGUUCCAAAUCCCUCUUACAGGCGCUGCAUUUAGU